GAUGAAGAACGCAGCGAAAUGCGAUAAGUAAUGUGAAUUGCAGAAUUCAGUGAAUCAUCGAAUCUUUGAACGCACAUUGCGCCCGCCAGUAUUCUGGCGGGCAUGCCUGUCCGAGCGUCAUUUCAACCCUCGAACCCCUCCGGGGGGUCGGCGUUGGGGACCUCGGGAGCCCCUAAGACGGGAUCCCGGCCCCGAAAUACAGUGGCGGUCUCGCCGCAGCCUCUCCUGCGCAGUAGUUUGCACAACUCGCACCGGGAGCGCGGCGCGUCCACGUCCGUAAAACACCCAACGUCUGAAAUGUUGACCUCGGAUCAGGUAGGAAUACCCGCUGAACUUAAGCAUAUCAAUAAGCGGAGGA
rnacentral:misc_RNA from 1 species